UUUCCGUUGGUGAACCAGCGGAGGGAUCAUUACAGGACUCGCAAGACUCCUUCACCCUGUGAACCUCACUACAAGCACGUUGCUUCGGCGGGUGUUCCGGCGGGGGUUUUCCCUCGCCGGGGCGCAAAGCCCGCCGGCAGCCUACUAUACUCUGUCUCUUUGCGUUGGCAUCUCGAGAAAAGACAAACAAGUUAAAACUUUCAACAACGGAUCUCUUGGUUCUG
rnacentral:misc_RNA from 1 species